rnacentral:rRNA from 1 species
AGUGAACGCUGGCGGUAGGCCUAACACAUGCAAGUCGAACGGCAGCACAGUAAGAGCUUGCUCUUACGGGUGGCGAGUGGCGGACGGGUGAGGAAUACAUCGGAAUCUACUUUUUCGUGGGGGAUAACGUAGGGAAACUUACGCUAAUACCGCAUACGACCUACGGGUGAAAGCAGGGGAUCUUCGGACCUUGCGCGAUUGAAUGAGCCGAUGUCGGAUUAGCUAGUUGGCGGGGUAAAGGCCCACCAAGGCGACGAUCCGUAGCUGGUCUGAGAGGAUGAUCAGCCACCCUGGCACUGAGACACGGCCCAGACUCCUACGGGAGGCAGCAGUGGGGAAUAUUGGACGAUGGGCGCAGGCCUGAUCCAGCCAUACCGCGUGGGUGAAGAAGGCCUUCGGGUUGUAAAGCCCUUUUGUUGGGAAAGAAAAGCAGCAGGUUAAUACCCCGCUGUUCUGACGGUACCCAAAGAAUAAGCACCGGCUAACUUCGUG